rnacentral:rRNA from 1 species
CUGGGAAGCACUGGAAACGGUGUCUAAUACCGGAUACGAGCUUCAGUCGCAUGACUAGGAGCUAAAGAAUUUCGGUCUGGGAUGGACUCGCGGCCUAUCAGCUAGUUGGUGAGGUAAAUGGCACCAAGGCGACGACGGGUAGCCGGCCUGAGAGGGUGACCGGCCACACUGGGACUGAGACGGCCCAGACUCCUACGGGAGGCAGCAGUGGGGAAUAUUGCACAAUGGGCGCAAGCCAUGCAGCAACGCCGCGUGAGGGACGACGGCCUUCGGGUUGUAAACCUCUUUUAGUAGGAGGAGCGAAAGUGACGGUACCUGCAGAAAAAGCACCGGCUAACUACGUGCCAGCAGCCGGUAAUACGUAGGGUGCAAGCGUUAUCCGGAAUUAUUGGGCGUAAAGAGCUCGUAGGCUUUGUCGCGUCUGCCGUGAAAACUGGAGGCUCAACCUCCAGCCUGCGGUGGGUACGGGGACUAGAGUGCGGUAGGGGAGAUCGGAAUUCCUGGUGUAGCGGUGGAAUGCGCAGAUAAGGAGGAACACCGAUGGCGAAGGCAGAUCUCUGGGCCGUAACUGACGCUGAGGAGCGA